CCUUAUUCGCUCAUAUGGCGAGUUUGAGCAUGUUUUUUUUUUUAAAUGCAACACCGCUGCAGGUGCCAAACAGAGGGAGACGGCAUGGGAGAACAUUGCGGCUCGGGUCAAUGCGUGCAAUCACGCGGGGGAGAAGCGAACCUGGCAGCAGCUUAAGAUGAAAUAUAAAAACAUUGUUCAAACAGCCAACAGAAAGAAAGCAGAUGCCCGUAAAACGGGUGGCGGCCGAGCACCGCCACCUCUAACGGAGGCAGAGG